UACAGAGGGUGCGAGCGUUAAUCGGAAUUACUGGGCGUAAAGCGCGCGUAGGCGGCUUUGCAAGUCGGGUGUGAAAUCCCCAGGCUUAACCUGGGAACUGCAUUCGAGACUGCAUUGCUAGAGUAUGGGAGAGGGAAGUGGAAUUUCUGGUGUAGCAGUGAAAUGCGUAGAUAUCAGAAGGAACAUCAGUGGCGAAGGCGGCUUCCUGGACCAAUACUGACGAUCAGGUGCGAAAGCGUGGGGAGCAAACAGG
rnacentral:rRNA from 1 species